rnacentral:lncRNA from 1 species
AAAAAGAGCAAAGAAUGCAGAAAUUUGGAAUUAGCAGCUUGGAACUCAAGAAAUUACAUGUGCAGAUGGGUCGAUUUACGGAUUUAACUGUAUGUGGUCAGGAAGAAAUAGAUAACAUGCUUUAUAUGCUUGGAAAGCUCUGGAAGUCUAGUUUUUGGAGAAUUUUACGGUUUGUGAUUUUGAGUUUUCUAAAGGAAGUUACAUCAGUUUGAGUACCAGCGGGUUAGUGUUGGAAUUAUGCAUGAGUUUUGACAACUUAGCAUCACAAGUUACCAUUCUUGCAAAGCAAGCUUUUGGACGUCCUUGGGCAGUUAGGCGGCACCUAAUCUUGUGUUAAGUCAAUUAUAAAUUAGCUAUAAUUGCCUAGAUCAGUUGGCAUUUGGUCUGGUCAAAGAAGUGCAUCAAAAGUCAAAGCCUAACUCAACUAGGAAAACAAACUCCCCAUUCUAAUUGGAUUUUAUUCUUAUUUUUC